CAUUGACCCCAUGCAGUUCCCAUUGCCCCAUUGAUGCCUUAGUGACCCCAUAUCCCCAUUCAGGUUCUGGGUCUGGUUCUGAUCCGGUUCUGGGUCUGGUUCUGGUUCGGGUCCGGUUCUGGUUCCAGUCCGGUUCCGGUUCUGGUCACAUUGGGUCCAAUUGGCCCCAUUACUUCCAUCCACCCAUUGCCCCAUUGAUGCCUUAGUGACCCCAUAUCCCCCUUCAGGUUCUGGUUCUGGUUCCGGUUCUGGGUCCGGUUCUGGUUCCGGUCCAAUUCCGAUCCCAUUGAAUCCAAUUGAGCCCAUUAAUCCAAUAUGUUUUAUUCACCCAUUGACCCCAUGCAGUUCCCAUUGCCCCAUUGAUGCCUUAGUGACCCCAUAUCCCCCUCCAGGUUCUGGUUCUGGUUCUGGUUCCGGUUCCGGUCCGGUUGGGGUCACGCAUGCAGGCAGCGGUUGAAGGCGUUAUAGGCCGAUUCCAGGUCGAACAGCAUCUGUCGGACCUGGUUGUCGUCCAGUUCAUCUGAUGCCGACAUGGAGCUCAACGUCUGCAGCCUGCGGGUCGGAACCAGAACCAGAACAUUAAGAACCCCAUAAAGAACACAUAGGAGACCAUAAGGAUCCCAUAAGAACCCCAUAAGAUCCCAUAAGGACCCCAUAGGACCCCGUAAGGCCCCAUUAGGCCUCACUAGGCCCCAUUAGGCCUCAGUAGGCCGCAUAGGCCCCAUAAGACCCCAUAAUGACCCCAUAAGACCCCAUAAGGACCCCAUAAGGACCCCAUAAGACCCCAUACGGACCUCAUAAGACCCCAUAAAGACCCUAUAAGACCCCAUUAGGCCCCAUAAAGACCCUAUAAGAACCCCAUAGGCCACAUAGGCCCUAUUAGGCCUCACUAGGCCCCA
rnacentral:lncRNA from 1 species